rnacentral:rRNA from 1 species
ACGGGGCGCAGCAGGCGCGAAAACUUCACAAUGCGGGAAACCGCGAUGAGGGAACUCCAAGUGCCUUGCCAUUGGUAAGGCUGUUUCCAUGUCUAAAAAACAUGGAGAGUAAGGGCUGGGUAAGACUGGUGCCAGCCGCCGCGGUAAUACCAGCAGCUCAAGUGGUGAUCCUUAUUAUUGGGCCUAAAGCGUCCGUAGCCUGUCUGGUAAAUCCUUGGGUAAAUCGUACCGCUUAACGGUACGACUUCUGGGGAGACUGCUAGACUUGGGACUGGGAGAGGUCGGAGGUACUCCAGGGGUAGGGGUGAAAUCCUGUAAUCCUUGGGGGACCACCAGUGGCGAAGGCGUCCGACUAGAACGGAUCCGACGGUGAGGGACGAAGCCGUGGGGCACAAACCGGAUUAGAUACCCGGGUAGUCCACGGUGUAAACGCUGCGAGCUUGGUGUUGGGGGUCCUACGAGGGCGUCCAGUGCCGGAGAGAAGUUGUUAAGCUCGCCGCCUGGG